rnacentral:rRNA from 1 species
AACGAACGCUGGCGGCAUGCCUAACACAUGCAAGUCGAACGAGACCUCCGGGCCUAGUGGCGCACGGGUGCGUAACGCGUGGGAACCUGCCCUUAGGUUCGGAAUAACUCCCCGAAAGGGGUGCUAAUACCGGAGAAUGUCUUCGGACCAAAGAUUUAUCGCCUUUGGAUGGGCCCGCGUUGGAUUAGCUAGUUGGUAGGGUAAAAGCCUACCAAGGCGACGAUCCAUAGCUGGUCUGAGAGGAUGAUCAGCCACACUGGGACUGAGACACGGCCCAGACUCCUACGGGAGGCAGCAGUGGGGAAUAUUGGACAAUGGGCGCAGGCCUGAUCCAGCAAUGCCGCGUGAGUGAUGAAGGCCUUAGGGUUGUAAAGCUCUUUUACCCGGGAUGAUAAUGACGGUACCGGGAGAAUAAGCUCCGGCUAACUCCGUG